ACGGGAGGCAGCAGUGAGGAAUAUUGGUCAAUGGACGGAAGUCUGAACCAGCCAAGUAGCGUGCAGGAUGACGGCCCUAUGGGUUGUAAACUGCUUUUAUAUGGGGAUAAAAAAGAGUACGUGUACUUUCUUGCAGGUACCAUAUGAAUAAGGACCGGCUAAUUCCGUGCCAGCAGCCGCGGUAAUACGGAAGGUCCGGGCGUUAUCCGGAUUUAUUGGGUUUAAAGGGUGCGCAGGCGGCCCGUUAAGUCAGCGGUGAAAUGUCGGGGCUCAACCCGGGCACUGCCGUUGAAACUGGGGGGCUUGAGUACGGAUGAGGUCGGCGGAAUGUGACGUGUAGCGGUGAAAUGCAUAGAUAUGUCACAGAACACCGAUUGCGAAGGCAGCCGGCCAAUCCGCAACUGACGCUCAUGCACGAAAGCGUGGGGAUCGAACAGGAUUAGAUACCCUGGUA
rnacentral:rRNA from 1 species